rnacentral:rRNA from 1 species
AGUGAACGCUGGCGGUAGGCCUAACACAUGCAAGUCGAACGGCAGCACAGUAAGAGCUUGCUCUUACGGGUGGCGAGUGGCGGACGGGUGAGGAAUACAUCGGAAUCUACUUUUUCGUGGGGGAUAACGUAGGGAAACUUACGCUAAUACCGCAUACGACCUACGGGUGAAAGCAGGGGAUCUUCGGACCUUGCGCGAUUGAAUGAGCCGAUGUCGGAUUAGCUAGUUGGCGGGGUAAAGGCCCACCAAGGCGACGAUCCGUAGCUGGUCUGAGAGGAUGAUCAGCCACACUGGAACUGAGACGCGGUCCAGACUCCUACGGGAGGCAGCAGUGGGGAAUAUUGGACAAUGGGCGCAAGCCUGAUCCAGCCAUACCGCGUGGGUGAAGAAGGCCUUCGGGUUGUAAAGCCCUUUUGUUGGGAAAGAAAAGCAGCAGGUUAAUACCCCGCUGUUCUGACGGUACCCAGAGAAUAAGCACCGGCUAACUUCGUG